rnacentral:rRNA from 1 species
AGCGAACGCUGGCGGCGUGCCUAAUACAUGCAAGUAGAACGCUGACUACUUUAGCUUACCAGAGUAGAAGGAGUUGCGAACGGGUGAGUAACGCGUAGGUAACCUGCCUACUAGCGGGGGAUAACUAUUGGAAACGAUAGCUAAUACCGCAUAACAGUGUUUAACACAUGUUAGAUGCUUGAAAGAUGCAAUUGCAUCACUAGUAGAUGGACCUGCGUUGUAUUAGCUAGUUGGUGGGGUAACGACCCACCAAGGCGACGAUACAUAGCCGACCGGAGAGGGGGAUCGGCCACACUGGGACUGAGACACGGCCCAGACUCCUACGGGAGGCAGCAGUAGGGAAUCUUCGGCAAUGGGGGCAACCCUGACCGAGCAACGCCGCGUGAGUGAAGAAGGUUUUCGGAUCGUAAAGCUCUGUUGUAAGAGAAGAACGUGUGUGAGAGUGGAAAGUUCACACAGUGACGGUAACUUACCAGAAAGGGACGGCUAACUACGUGCCAGCCGCCGCCGUAA